rnacentral:rRNA from 1 species
AUUGAACGCUGGCGGCAGGCCUAACACAUGCGAGUCGAGCGAGCGGCGGACGGGUGAGUAAUGUCUGGGAAACUGCCUGAUGGAGGGGGAUAACUACUGGAAACGGUAGCUAAUACCGCAUAACAUCAGAUGUGCCCAGUUGGUAUUAGCUGGUAGGUGGGGUAACGGCUCACCUAGGCGACGAUCCCUAGCUGGUCUGAGAGGGUGAACAGCCACACGGGAACUGAGACACGGUCCAGACUCCUACGGGAGGCAGCAGUGGGGAAUAUUGCACAAUGGGCGAAAGCCUGAUGCAGCCAUGCCGCGUGUGUGAAGAAGGCCUUCGGGUUGUAAAGCACUUUCGGCGGGGAGGCGUUACCCGCAGAAGAAGCACCGGCUAACUCCGUGCCAGCAGCCGCGGUAAUUC